UAAAGAACUGUUUGGGAAUAAUUGGUUGAUAUUGUAAAUUUACAUCUGAAUACAUUAAAUAAAAGGAUUUUAGAAUCAAUCAAUUUAUUUGUAGUUAAUUUCCCACGACAUUUUGAUUGAAAAUCUUUAGAUGUAUCUGUUUUGUAUUCAGUGAUGGCUGGUGGUGAUUUUGGGUGGGUGGGCUAACAAAUGCAUUACACUCAUCAAUACGUCACACAGCAGCAACAGAAGCAUCACAGCAACAACAUUGUAUACUUUGUUAUAACAACACUAUAAUAAACUACGGCAACACUGUGGAGACAAACCCAAAAGAAAGACCCGAUGCCAUCUCUCUCUCUCUCUCUCUCUCUCUCUCUCUCUCUCCCUCUGUACAACAGCACAUGCCGAUUGCGCUACAACUACAUUAUAGAAAAGUACCAGCAAAAAUUUGCAACACCAUGUAUCAAAAAUAAAUGUACAAAACCAAAGCAAAAAUAACAGUAUUUGUAGAAGAGAGAGUUGUUUCAGAGCUUGGGCAUACCUUAUUUAAAACGCCGCUCACAUCGACACAAACAGGUUAAUCACCAUGUCAAACUCCACCCUGCUGUACCUCACCAUCAGCUCACCUUUCAGUUUCUUCCUGCAGAUCAUUGGCUAAUGUGCACAUGCAAAGACAACAAGUGCCUGGCUUUCUCAAAGCAAGCCUUUGACUUCUCAACCAUUAAGUUACAGCACUGUGCGGCCACUGACACAUUAUCAGAGCGCCGCAUCCUGCCCGGCGUUGCAGCGGCUGCAGUGGCUGUGGCUGAUCAUCUGUGGUCAGCAGUUCAGAUAUGAAGCAGGAAACAUUUUCCAGGUCCUGUCUUGUUUUGAGACAAUCUGUGGUCUUAGACGUGUACUUUGCAGCUUGUGUGUUUGACAGGUGAUCUGCUGAUUGACUGUCUAAAAAGAGAACUAGUCCCCGCUGGAGUGAGGUGGGAGAUUAAUCGGACCCCUGCAGGGCGAGCUGAUGUCCCCACAAACUGUAAUACAGUCCACAGUCCGUGAUAGUGAAUGCCUGUCUUUCUUUACCAGCUCGUUGUGUCUCUGUACAGGAUGCGGUGACUCAUUAAGCUGACAGAUGUUCACUUUACCCAGCAAUGACAGCUUUACACUAUUUCCAAUGUGGCUCGUGCUGCAUUCAUGUGUAUUUGAAUUUUGUCGGAUAAAUGUUUUAAAUCCACAAUUCCUUGUUGGGUCCAAACCGAGUCUCCUCCAAACAGCAAACAUGGGAAACAGAAAAGUGAAUUCCUAGCUACACUUGCUUUUAGCCAGUCCGUUAGCUGAAACCACGUAACGUUAACACAAAACUACGAUUUUGUCGUUUGUCCUUUUGUGUUAUUUGUACAUCGUUUGGAUGAAGUGUUCCCAAUCUCUGUACUUCCAUUUUUUCCUCCAAAGACUUGAAAAUUUAUUAGAAAGUAAAUAAUCCACCUCAUUAAUGUUCACGCUAACGCUCACGAUACUGUACUGUAGCUGCUGCGCUGUGAUUGGUCGAAGGUCACUGUACUGUAGCCGCUGCGCUGUGAUUGGUCGAAGGUCACUGUACUGUGGCUACUGCGCUGUGAUUGGUCGAAGGUCACUGUACUGUGGCUACUGCGCUGUGAUUGGUCGAAGGUCACUGUACUGUAGCUACUGCGCUGUGAUUGGUCGAAGGUCACUGUACUGUAGCUACCGCGCUGUGAUUGGUCGAAGGUCACUGUACUGUGGCUACCGCGCUGUGAUUGGUCGAAGGUCACUGUACUGUGGCUACUGCGCUGUGAUUGGUCGAAGGUCACUGUACUGUAGCUACUGCGCUGUGAUUGGUCGAAGGUCACUGUACUGUGGCUACUGCGCUGUGAUUGGUCGAAGGUCACUGUACUGUGGCUACUGCGCUGUGAUUGGUCGAAGGUCACUGUACUGUGGCUACUGCGCUGUGAUUGGUCGAAGGUCACUGUACUGUAGCUACUGCGCUGUGAUUGGUCGAAGGUCACUGUACUGUAGCUACUGCACUGUGAUUGG